rnacentral:rRNA from 1 species
GACGAACGCUUGCGGCGUGCUUAACACAUGCAAGUCGAACGGAAAGGCCCUGCUUUUGUGGGGUGCUCGAGUGGCGAACGGGUGAGUAACACGUGAGUAACCUGCCCUUGACUUUGGGAUAACUUCAGGAAACUGGGGCUAAUACCGGAUAGGAGCUCCUGCUGCAUGGUGGGGGUUGGAAAGUUUCGGCGGUUGGGGAUGGACUCGCGGCUUAUCAGCUUGUUGGUGGGGUAGUGGCUUACCAAGGCUUUGACGGGUAGCCGGCCUGAGAGGGUGACCGGCCACAUUGGGACUGAGAUACGGCCCAGACUCCUACGGGAGGCAGCAGUGGGGAAUAUUGCACAAUGGGCGGAAGCCUGAUGCAGCAACGCCGCGUGCGGGAUGACGGCCUUCGGGUUGUAAACCGCUUUCGCCUGUGACGAAGCGUGAGUGACGGUAAUGGGUAAAGAAGCACCGGCUAACUACGUGCCAGCAGCCGCGGUGAUACGUACGGUGCGAGCGUUGUCCGGAUUUAUUGGGCGUAAAGGGCUCGUAGGUGGUUGAUCGCGUCGGAAGUGUAAUCUUGGGGCUUAACCCUGAGCGUGCUUUCGAUACGGGUUGACUUGAGGAAGGUAGGGGAGAAUGGAAUUCCUGGUGGAGCGGUGGAAUGCGCAGAUAUCAGGAGGAACACCAGUGGCGAAGGCGGUUCUCUGGGCCUUUCCUGACGCUGAGGAGCGAAAGCGUGGGGAGCGAACAGGCUUAGAUACCCUGGUAGUCCACGCUGUAAACGGUGGGUACUAGGUGUGGGGUCCACUCCACGGGUUCCGUGCCGUAGCUAACGCUUUAAGUACCCCGCCUGGGGAGUACGGCCGCAAGGCUAAAACUCAAAGGAAUUGACGGGGCCCCGCACAAGCGGCGGAGCAUGCGGAUUAAUUCGAUGCAACGCGUAGAACCUUACCUGGGUUUGACAUGGAUCGGGAGUGCUCAGAGAUGGGUGUGCCUCUUUUGGGGUCGGUUCACAGGUGGUGCAUGGCUGUCGUCAGCUCGUGUCGUGAGAUGUUGGGUUAAGUCCCGCAACGAGCGCAACCCUUGUUCACUGUUGCCAGCACGUUAUGGUGGGGACUCAGUGGAGACCGCCGGGGUCAACUCGGAGGAAGGUGGGGAUGACGUCAAGUCAUCAUGCCCCUUAUGUCCAGGGCUUCACGCAUGCUACAAUGGCUGGUACAGAGAGUGGCGAGCCUGUGAGGGUGAGCGAAUCUCGGAAAGCCGGUCUCAGUUCGGAUUGGGGUCUGCAACUCGACCUCAUGAAGUCGGAGUCGCUAGUAAUCGCAGAUCAGCAACGCUGCGGUGAAUACGUUCCCGGGGCU